rfam:Nematostella vectensis strain CH2 x CH6 NEMVEscaffold_8029_Cont54007, whole genome shotgun sequence.
AAAACGGCUCUUUUANGGAGCCACCACAUAGAAAAAAGUUCAAGUCA